AACGAACGCUGGCGGCAUGCCUAACACAUGCAAGUCGAACGGGAUCCGGACUUCGGUCCGGUGAGAGUGGCGGACGGGUGAGUAACACGUGGGAACCUGCCUCUUGGUUCGGGAUAACCGCGGGAAACUGCGGCUAAUACCGGAUGCUCCCGAGAGGGAAAAGAUUUAUCGCCAGAAGAGGGGCCCGCGUCCGAUUAGGUAGUUGGUGGGGUAAUGGCCUACCAAGCCGACGAUCGGUAGCUGGUCUGAGAGGAUGAUCAGCCACACUGGGACUGAGAUACGGCCCAGACUCCUACGGGAGGCAGCAGUGGGGAAUAUUGGACAAUGGGGGGCAACCCUGAUCCAGCAAUGCCGCGUGAGUGAUGAAGGCCUUAGGGUUGUAAAGCUCUUUUGCCAGGGAGAUGAUGACUGUACCUGGAGAAUAAGCCCCGGCUAACUUCGUGCCAGCAGCCGCGGUAAU
rnacentral:rRNA from 1 species